rnacentral:rRNA from 1 species
UUAUUAUUUAUUUUUAUUAAUACUAUUUAGUAAUAAAUUUAAUUAUUUUUGUUUUUUAAUUUUUGAGGUUAUUUAAUUAAAGUUUAAUUUAUAUUUUGUACCUUUUGUAUCAGGGUUAAUUUAUUGAUAAAGUUAUUUUUAUUCCCGAAAAUGAAUUAUUUAGUUUAAUUUUGAUUUAUUUGUUACAAAAAAUUUUCUUAUAUUUUACUUAUAAUUAAAAGUUAUUUGUUUUCAUUUUAUAUCUGGUUAUUUUAGAUAAAAUUGAAUUUUUAAUUAAUUUAUUUUUUAUUUAUAAAGUUUUAAUUAUAUUUUAUUAGGGAUAAUCUUAAUAUUUUUGUAUAAUUAUCUUUUUUUUAUUAAAAUUAAUUUUUAAAGUUUAUAUUAAGUUUUUAAUUAAUUAUUUUAUUUUUAUUUGAUUUUUUUUAUUUUACUUUUUUAUAAGAUAAAUUUAUCUAUUUAUUUAUAUUUUUUAUAAUGAUUAAAUUAGUAUAAUUUAUAAUUUUAAAGAUUGAAUUCGACAAUUUUUUUUUUCAACUGUUUAUCAAAAACAUUUCCUUGAGUGGAUUAUUUAAGGUAAGUUCUGCCCUAUGAACAUUAAAUGGCUGCAGUAUUCUGACUGUACAAAGGUAGCAUAAUAAUUAGCCUUUUGAUUGAGGGCUUGUAUGAAUGAAUUAAUGAGAAAAUAUUUAUAAUUAAUUAUAUAGUUAAAAUUUAAUUUUUUGGUAAAAAAGCUAAAUUGUUAAUUUGGGACGAAAAGACCCUGUAGAAUUUUUAUUAAAUUAAUAAUUUAUAUUAUUAUAACUUGAUUUAUUAAUUUAUUUUUUAUUGGGGUGAUAAAUAAAUUUAAACUUUAUUUUUUAAAUUCUUUAUAAAAGGUUUAUUAAGAUUCAAAAAUUUGAUUUAAGUUAAAAUUACCUCAGGGAUAACAGCGUAAUUUAAAUGAAGAGUUCAUAUCUAUAUUUAAGGUUGCGACCUCGAUGUUGAAUUAAGAAAAAUAUAUUGGGGUAGUACCUAUAUUAAUUAAGUCUGUUCGACUUUUAAAUUCUUACAUGAUUUGAGUUCAGACCGGCGUGAGCCAGGUUGGUUUCUAUCUAUAUUUAUUAAGUAUUUAUUUUAGUACGAAAGGACCAAAUAUUUUAUUAUUAUAAUAUUAUUUUUAAUUAAUUU